CAGAGGCCCGCAGGGCCAACUGAUGCGACGGCGUCAUAGUUAAAUGUCAAAAGACAUCUACAAUGACACGACACAGCAUUAAACGAGCAUUGCAUUAAAGGGACUCUUACCUUUGUUGCAUUUUUACACUUUUUUUGGAUAAGGUUAAAUUGGUAUUAAUAAGGUAAUAACACUCUAAUAUGCAAGACAGACCCACCAGGAGUAAAAACAAACAAUUAUUUUACUCUCAUAAUAUUUAGUGAAAACUUCAACCAAUAAAAUUCUUCGGACCGAAUGACCUUAUUGGCCGACAGACCUGUCUGUUUGCUGCAUGGAUAUAUAAGGUUUUCCGUCUGCUUCUUGUGGCGCAUUCGGGCCCGCGUCAUCAAGGCGCGUCCUCAACUAGAGGGUUUGUUUUGAUUCCACGGCAGGCAGUAGCGAGUAGCGACCGUAGCGACUGACGAUGGCAGACCAAAGUGGUCCACGGCGUACUGAAACUGCACCAUUCAGUCCGAUUAGGGGACUCAUCUCGGACUCAGACUCACAGAGUUACCCUCCUCUGGAGCCUCAGGAAGACCUCCAGACUGUUGGCCACCAACUGCACCAUUCAGUCCGACAAGGGGACCCGAUUCGGCCUCAGACGCGAAGUUGUCCCGCUACUCUGGAGCUCCGGGAAGACCUCCAGACCGUUGGCACCCAACCACACCACUCAGUCCGAUUACGGGACCCAUUUCGGACUCAGACGCGACGUUGUCCCGCUACUCUGGAGCUACAGGAAGACCUCCAGACCGUUGGCACCCAACCGCACCACUCAGUCCGAUUACGGGACCCAUUUCGGACUCAGACGCGACGUUGUCCCUCUACUCUGGAGCUACAGGAAGACCUCCAGACCGUUGGCACCCAACCGCACCACUCAGUCCGAUUACGGGACCCAUUUCGGACUCAGAUGCGACGUUGUCCCGCUACUCUGGAGCUACAGGAAGACCUCCGGACCGUUGGCACCCAACCGCACCAUUCAGUCCGAUUAGGGGACCCAUUUCGGCCUCAGACGCUACGUUGUCCCGCUACUCUGUUUGUAAUGCUCAUACACCUUUCUUAUACUCAGUGUAUCACACGAAGCCCAUAA
rnacentral:lncRNA from 1 species